CGCAACUUGCCCAACGCCAGUGUGUCUAAGGCGCUGGCUUUAGGCGCCAGUCCGAAAGGGCGUGGGUUCGAACCCCACAGCUGUCA